GAUGAACGCUGGCGGCGUGCCUAAUACAUGCAAGUCGAGCGAACGGACGAGAAGCUUGCUUCUCUGAUGUUAGCGGCGGACGGGUGAGUAACACGUGGAUAACCUACCUAUAAGACUGGGAUAACUUCGGGAAACCGUAGCUAAUACCGGAUAAUAUUUUGAACCGCAUGGUUCAAAAGUGAAAGACGGUCUUGCUGUCACUUAUAGAUGGAUCCGCGCUGCAUGAGCUAGUUGGUAAGGUAACGGCUUACCAAGGCAACGAUGCAUAGCCGACCUGAGAGGGUGAUCGGCCACACUGGAACUGAGACACGGUCCAGACUCCUACGGGAGGCAGCAGUAGGGAAUCUUCCGCAAUGGGCGAAAGCCUGACGGAGCAACGCCGCGUGAGUGAUGAAGGUCUUCGGAUCGUAAAACUCUGUUAUUAGGGAAGAACAUAUGUGUAAGUAACUGUGCACAUCUUGACGGUACCUAAUCAGAAAGCCACGGCUAACUACGUG
rnacentral:rRNA from 1 species